CGGUGGAACUCCACGUGUAGCGGUAAAAUGCGUAGAUAUAUGGAAGAACACCAGUGGCGAAGGCGGCCGCCUGGCCUGUUGUUGACGCUGAGGCACGAAAGCGUGGGGAGCAAAUAGGAUUAGAUACCCUAGUAGUCCACGCCGUAAACGAUGAGGACCAAGUGUUGGGGGUGAAACCUCAGUGCUGAAGUUAACGCAGUGAGUCCUCCGCCUGGGGAGUAUGCACGCAAGUGUGAAACUCAAAGGAAUUGACGGGGGCCCGCACAAGCGGUGGAGUAUGUGGUUUAAUUCGAAGCAACGCGAAGAACCUUACCAGGCCUUGACAUGGGAUGCGAAGACGCAGAGAUGCGUUGGAGGUCAACAUCCACACAGGUGGUGCAUGGUUGUCGUCAGCUCGUGUCGUGAGAUGUUGGGUCAAGUCCCGCAACGAGCGCAACCCUUGUGGCAUGUUGCUAACAGGAAAGCUGAGGACUCAUGCCAGACUGCCGGUGACAAACCGGAGGAAGGCGGGGAUGACGUCAAAUCAUCAUGCCCCUUAUGGCCUGGGCUACACACGUACUACAAUGGCGGCUACAAAGAGCGGCGAGACAGUAAUGUCGAGCGAAUCUCAUAAAAGCCGUCCCAGUUCGGAUUGGAGCCUGCAACCCGGCUCCAUGAAGUUGGAAUCGCUAGUAAUCGCGGAUCAGCAUGCCGCGGUGAAUACGUUCCCGGGCCUUGCACUCACCGCCCGUCAA
rnacentral:rRNA from 1 species